rnacentral:lncRNA from 1 species
AGAGAGGCUUGCAGGUCCAAACCACUGGUAGCAGCCCCUGGUAUAUCCAGGACAUCAGCACAUAGAACCAGUGAAAGGGUCCUCCCUCAUAGUGACGCAUGUCAUAGACUCAGAUUUAUACAAACAAAUGCUGAGCAAACCAUGAAGAGUCUCUGGUAUUUUCAACAAUAUCAUCACAGAGGAACUGUAUUGAUUUCCUUGCACGUUCAGGGUACUGGGAGAGGCAACAGGGAUGGAGGUCCCAUGUCAGGGGACUUCACAGUGUGACGGGAAUGUUCAACCUGCACCUGUUCCUUGCACCAUACUCCAUCCAGCUCUCCGCUCUUCCAGUCAUUUAUGCUCCUGUCUUCCGUGGAGGAAGUCUGGUAGUAUCUCCCCGGGACACUGGCUCAAAUUUCCAGCCACCUGCCCAAGACAGAUGGGACCAGGGGCCAGAUGAUGUGGACAAUGAUGAUGUCACAAAGAGAAGUAAGAAAUAAAGGAGGCAACUUAGUGGGAAAGGUGAUGUUCUGGGUUCUGAAGAAGAUGAGAGAUACCAGGCCAGGCUGUGCUUUGCCUCUUGGCCUAUUUUCCUUCCUGACUUUUUUCAGCCACAGUGAGUCUCUGAGACCUAGUUUUGGCAGAAGGAAGUACCAGAGGGAGCUGAGCUGUUGAACAUUAUGUGCGAUCAUGUAAUAACUGCAAUCGGAAGGGAAACACUCAGAGUCCUGGAGA